rnacentral:rRNA from 1 species
GUGAGUAUAAGACCUGAGUGUAAAGACCUUAGGGUGAAGCAAUUGGAGGGCAAGCUUUGGUGCCAGCAGCCGCGGUAACUCCAACUCCAAGAGUGUCUAUGGUGGAUGCUGCAGUUAAAGGGUCCGUAGUCGUGAAUGCAAUUAAAUGUCGUUGUUCAAUAGCGAUGAGUUUGCUGAUGUUUGCGGAACGGAUAGGGAGUGUAGUAUAGACUGGCGAAGAAUGAAAUCUCAAGACCCAGUUUGGACUAACGGAGGCGAAGGCGACACUCUUAGACGUAUCUUAGGAUCAAGGACGAAGGCAGGAGUAUCGAAAGUGAUUAGACACCGCUGUAGUUCCUGCAGUAAACUAUGCCGACAGCCUGUGUGUGAGAAUACGUGGGCGGGAGAAAUCUUAGUGUUCGGGCUCUGGGGAUAGUACGCUCGCAAGGGUGAAACUUAAAGCGAAAUUGACGGAAGGACACUACCAGGAGUGGAUUGUGCUGCUUAAUUUAACUCAACGCGGGAAAACUUACCAGGGUCAAGUCAUUCGUUGAUCGAAUACGUGAGAAUGGCAGGAGUGG